rnacentral:rRNA from 1 species
AAUAUUGCACAAUGGGCGCAAGCCUGAUGCAGCCAUGCCGCGUGUGUGAAGAAGGCCUUCGGGUUGUAAAGCACUUUCAGUUGUGAGGAAGGUGGUGUCGUUAAUAGCGGCAUCAUUUGACGUUAGCAACAGAAGAAGCACCGGCUAACUCCGUGCCAGCAGCCGCGGUAAUACGGAGGGUGCGAGCGUUAAUCGGAAUUACUGGGCGUAAAGCGCAUGCAGGUGGUUUGUUAAGUCAGAUGUGAAAGCCCGGGGCUCAACCUCGGAACUGCAUUUGAAACUGGCAGACUAGAGUACUGUAGAGGGGGUAGAAUUUCAGGUGUAGCGGUGAAAUGCGUAGAGAUCUGAAGGAAUACCGGUGGCGAAGGCGGCCCCCUGGACAGAUACUGACACUCAGAUGCGAAAGCGUGGGGAGCAAACAGGAUUAGAUACCCUGGGAG